rnacentral:rRNA from 1 species
UACGUAGGGUGCGAGCGUUGUCCGGAAUUAUUGGGCGUAAAGAGCUUGUAGGCGGUUUGUCGCGUCUGCUGUGAAAUCUCAAGGCUCAACCUUGAGCUUGCAGUGGGUACGGGCAGACUAGAGUGUGGUAGGGGAGACUGGAAUUCCUGGUCUAGCGGUGAAAUGCGCAGAUAUCAGGAGGAACACCGGUGGCGAAGGCGGGUCUCUGGGCCAAUACUGACGCUGAGGAGCGAAAGCGUGGGGAGCGAACAGG